GAGGUGGCCGAGCGGCUGAAGGCGCGGGUCUCGAAAACCCGUAUAUCGCUUUGCGGUAUCGAGAGUUCAAAUCUCUCCCUCUCCG
rnacentral:tRNA from 1 species